rnacentral:rRNA from 1 species
GAUGAACGCUGGCGGCGUGCUUAACACAUGCAAGUCGAACGGAAAGGCUCCUGCUUGCAGGGGUACUCGAGUGGCGAACGGGUGAGUAACACGUGGGUGAUCUGCCCUGCACUUCGGGAUAAGCCUGGGAAACUGGGUCUAAUACCGGAUAGGACCACAUUUUGGAUGGUGUGGUGGAAAGUUUUUCGGUGUGGGAUGAGCUCGCGGCCUAUCAGCUUGUUGGUGGGGUAAUGGCCUACCAAGGCGUCGACGGGUAGCCGGCCUGAGAGGGUGUACGGCCACAUUGGGACUGAGGUACGGCCCAGACUCCUACGGGAGGCAGCAGUGGGAAAUAUUGCACAAUGGGCGCAAGCCUGAUGCAGCGACGCCGCGUGGGGAAUGACGGCCUUCGGGUUGUAAACUCCUUUCGCUAGGGACGAAGCGCAAGUGACGGUACCUGGAGAAGAAGCACCGGCUAACUACGUG